AAUCUCUCUCCUUUCUCAGUCACUUUGCUCUCACUGUUUGUACCACUUUAUCAUUUUGAAGAACAAACAAUGAAACUAUGGAUGGAGACAUUAAUAAUAUUGGGAUUAGUUGUUCUUGGAUGCCAGUCAGAUGACACAGUUGAUCAGCCACUUAAACAUGUUACUAAAUUUGAGGGAGAAUCAGUAACACUGGACUGCAAAUAUACUACAACCUCGCCAUCACAAGAGCUUUUCUGGUACAUACAGAGAAGAGAAGAAUCUCCUAAACUUGUGUUACAGAGGAAUUCAUACGGAGGAGGAAGUAAUGGAACAGAGUUCCAGGAGCGAUUUUACUCUGAGGUGAAACCAUCAAAAUCAGUUCCACUGAUGAUCCAGAGACUGUGUGUGUCUGACUCUGCUGUGUACUACUGUGCUUUGAGGCCCACAGUGUUAACAGGAUGCCUCUCUCUCAUACAAAAUCAAAAGAAACACAUACAACUGAAGAGGGAGGAGUGAUUGGACCUGAUGUCAUUAGCCACACCCACAUUAGUAAUAAACAACAGAACAACUCUCCAUGUAGAGUAACUAAUCAUUUGUGUAAAACAGUCUUCAGAUCAGAUCAGUCAACAAAAAUCUGA